rnacentral:tRNA from 1 species
AGUCCCGUGGUGUCCGGCACCUAAAAUUGCAAAUUUUAAAGCGCAGAUGAAUCUGCCGGGGCUU